GGGCCCGUAGCUUAGUCUGGUUAGAGUCCUCGGCUCAUAACCGAGUGGUCGCUGGUUCAAAUCCGGCCGGGCCCA
rnacentral:tRNA from 1 species